AUUGAACGCUGGCGGCAUGCCUUACACAUGCGAGUCGAACGGUAACGGGCCUUCGGGUGCCGACGAGUGGCGAACGGGUGAGUAAUGCAUCGGAACGUACCUUUCAGUGGGGGAUAACGUAGCGAAAGUUACGCUAAUACCGCAUAUUCUGUGAGCAGGAAAGCAGGGGAUCGCAAGACCUUGCGCUGAUUGAGCGGCCGAUGUCAGAUUAGCUAGUUGGUGAGGUAAAGGCUCACCAAGGCGACGAUCUGUAGCGGGUCUGAGAGGAUGAUCCGCCACACUGGAACUGAGACACGGUCCAGACUCCUACGGGAGGCAGCAGUGGGGAAUUUUGGACAAUAGGGGGCAACCCGUGAUCCAGCCAUGCCGCGUGAGUGAAGAAGGCCUCGGUGUAAGA
rnacentral:rRNA from 1 species